rnacentral:rRNA from 1 species
AGGGGAAACGCCCGGUCCCAUUCCGAACCCGGAAGCUAAGCCCUUCAGCGCCGAUGGUACUGCACUCGCCAGGGUGUGGGAGAGUAGGACGCCGCCGGAC